GACGAACGCUGGCGGCGUGCUUAAUACAUGCAGGUCGAACGGAAAGGCCCUGCUUUUGUGCGGUGCUCGUGUGGCGAACGGGUGAGUAACACGUGUGUAACCUGCCCUUGACUUUGGGGUAACUUCAGGAGACUGGGGCUCAUAUCGCAUAGGAGCUCCUGAUGCAUGGUGGGGGUUGGAAAGUUUCGGCGGUUGUGGCUGGACUCGCGGGUUAUCCGCUUGUUUGUGGGGUAGUGGCUUACCAAGGGUUUGACGGGUAGCCGGCCUGGGAGGGUUACCGGCCACAAUAGUACUGCGGUACGCCGCAGUCUCCAACGUUAGGCAGCAGUCGGAAAUAUUGCGCAACAGGGGCGAGCCAGAUGCAACGGCGCCGCGUGCGGGAAGACGUGCUUCUGGGUAUAAACCGCUGUCGCCGGAGACGAAGCGUGAGUGACGGUAAUUGGUAAAGAAGCACCGGCUAACUACGUG
rnacentral:rRNA from 1 species